rnacentral:rRNA from 1 species
AUUGAACGCUGGCGGCAGGCCUAACACAUGCAAGUCGAGCGAUCGGCGGACGGGUGAGUAAUGUAUGGGGACUGCCCGAUGGAGGGGGAUAACUACUGGAAACGGUGGCUAAUACCGCAUACGGUCGGAUAACCCAUAUGGGAUUAGCUAGUAGGUGGGGUAAUGGCUUACCUAGGCGACGAUCCCUAGCUGGUCUGAGAGGAUGAUCAGCCACACUGGUACUGAGACACGGUCCCGACUCCUACGGAGGCAGCAGUGGGGAAUAUUGCACAAUGGGCGCAAGCCUGAUGCAGCCAUGCCGCGUGUAUGAAGAAGGCCUUAGGGUUGUAAAGUACUUUCAGUCGGGAGGCGUUACUGACAGAAGAAGCACCGGCUAACUCCGUGCCAGCAGCCGCGGUAAUUC